CAGUUAACCCCAUUCCCGCCCAGGCCCUUUUGGGCAUGCCCCAAAUGGUAUAUUAGCCUUGGCUGGCCCCUCUCUGAGUGGUGGCUUUGGUUUUUGAGGGCUCUUGCUGUGCAGAGUUUUAUUUUGAGUGGCUUGACUUGUGCUCAGCUCCAUUGUGGGUGAGGAAGAUGCUUGGAUGAUGACGUGGAUUUUGGUGUGGGGGUGUCCUAACUCUGGGUUUCCUCUUUUGUGACUGCUAAGCUUCUGAAUUCACAGCUAAGCAUGGGAAAUAAGAAGAAAGCAAAGGGGUAAAGACAUGCUCAAAGCCUUUUCUGAGUUCCUGGAGCUGCAUGAUUGCUCUUCUGCUAUGAUUUUGCACAGCACACUGCAAUGCACCAAGGAGCAUCUAUUGCAUCAUGCUCCACCACUUACUUUCAAUCCAAAUGCUAAAGGGAGAACUAUCUGGAGUGCCAACUUUCCUUCAGUCCUGAUGUGCUUGCCAGCACCUGGGGCAUCCAACCACUCCAGGAAUAAUUCCAACAGCAGUGGUACCAGCUUUUUUUCCAUGCUAUGUUCCUGUUGGU